UACGUAGGUGGCAAGCGUUAUCCGGAAUUAUUGGGCGUAAAGCGCGCGCAGGCGGUCCUUUAAGUCUGAUGUGAAAGCCCACGGCUCAACCGUGGAGGGUCAUUGGAAACUGGGGGACUUGAGUGCAGAAGAGGAGAGCGGAAUUCCACGUGUAGCGGUGAAAUGCGCAGAUAUCAGGAAGAACACCUAUGGCGAAGGCAGCUCUCUGGGACGGUACUGACGCUGAGACGCGAAAGCGUGGGGAGCGAACAGG
rnacentral:rRNA from 1 species